rnacentral:ncRNA from 2 species
AAUUGCAUCGGUGAUGGAGCUCACCAACAUCACCCGAAAGGGUUAAUGGCUCCUGCGAAGGU